rnacentral:lncRNA from 1 species
UUUGCUUUUAUUAACUAUUAUUGCUAAAGUUUAUGAUUGCGAUCAUUUCACCGUGAAUAAUUUUGUUUCCUGCAGGUGGAUCGUAUCAUCUUCUGCGUCUUUUUGGAGGUUGACUAUAAAAUUUUCAAGAAGAAAAUGGGCGAGUUUUUCCCUCUAGAUGAUGCAAAUGAAGAAGGGACUGAGCUGAGUGAAGAGACAGGAUUGGAACAAAAAGGCCAAGCUCCAUCUCCCACAAAGAGCAAAGCAGAGCAGCCUGCGGACCUCCAAGAUGAUGCUGAAGGUGGUAACAGCACAGAGGAGAAGCAAAACGCUGAAGAAACCGAGGCCCAGAGCCAAGAAACAGGUUUGUGCCGAGUUUCUUAAAGGACUUUGUGAGGUUUUGUCCACCUCGGUGAAAAGUAACCUUAGUCAAU